AGAGCAUUGAGAAACGCAAGCUUUCCCAGAAGCGAAGGACACUGGUGGCUAAACUGAGGAAGAGCCUGGCUGAGGAGUACUUGCGUUACCUUACCGAACGAGAUGCCCGAAAGAUUCUCAUCGGGGACCUGAAUGAACUGAGGUACCAGCGAGAAGACAUGUCACUAGCCCAGAGCCCAGUUGCUCGGACAACUCCCUCACAUACUUCGUCUGAGUGCUCUGGCGUCGUCUCGGAGUGUGCGAAUCCGCUGUAUCCAGCACGUGCCGCAAGAGCGUACGUAUGGUCGGGUCGCCGUCGGGACUACUGAGAUCCGCCAUGUUCAGGAUCCCACCCCUCCUAACUGUUCUAGCUGCAGCAAGCACCGCAUUCCCGCCGCCUCUUUUGAGUGAAGUCUCGCGAUGCUACCACAUGGCCCCACGGGAACUGUAGUCCGACAGCUGGGGAGCCGGGUCUGACAUGAUCAUAAAUUGAUUUUGGAGGCGGUCUCACGUUAACCCUGGGGAAAAGCAUGGAGCCAGUUCAGAACAGAUGGUUUCCUCAUUAAAAAAAAAAAAAAAAAA
rnacentral:lncRNA from 1 species